GGCGCUAUAGCCAAGUGGUUACGGCGACAGAUUCGAAUCUACUCGCUAUCUGUUCCUCUUUGAGGGCGCAGGUUCAAAUCCUGCUGGCGUCG